rnacentral:tRNA from 1 species
GCCCAUUGGGCUCAAACGGUAAAGCGUCUGCCUACAAUGCAGGAGACCUGGGUUCAAUCCCUGGGUUGGGAA